rnacentral:rRNA from 1 species
UACGAAGGGGGCUAGCGUUGCUCGGAAUCACUGGGCGUAAAGCGCACGUAGGCGGCUUUUAAGUCAGGGGUGAAAUCCUGGAGCUCAACUCCAGAACUGCCUUCGAUACUGGAGAGCUUGAGUCCGGGAGAGGUGAGUGGAACUGCGAGUGUAGAGGUGAAAUUCGUAGAUAUUCGCAAGAACACCAGUGGCGAAGGCGGCUCACUGGCCCGGUACUGACGCUGAGGUGCGAAAGCGUGGGGAGCAAACAGG